AGAAAAAUAAGCUAACAACAAGCUUAUGGGCUCAUACCCCUUAAAUGAAACCCCAAUAUUUCUUUUUCUA
rnacentral:tRNA from 1 species